CUGUGCCUAGCUUAGCAUUUGCAUAAGUAAGGCACAGGACUCUGCAUGAAGGGGUCAUCUUUAGAAUUCUGCGCACCACAGCUACCAACCUGGAAGCACUUUAGUCCCCUCUGGGGGUCCCGGAUGAAUGUGGAGGUCUCCAUGUUCCAGAGAUGGAUGCAGGUUCCCAGGUACUGCUACAAGGCUGAUGGAGAAAGGGAUGGCAACAGGAGCGUCAGACAAAGAAGCUCAUUCUAUAGACCCAGCAGGGCCAGCACUGACCAACAGAUGGCAAGUGGUUGACACCAGGAAGGCUUUGUCAGAUAGAAUCUUACCUCCCUGGCCCCCAGAAAUCCGGUGUUCUUAAGGGAUAUGGAUGAUCAGAAAUUAUUUGUUAAGAGGGAAAACCCAUUCCAAGCAGCUUCAUAAGAUAUAAUCCCAUCUUCAUAUUUUAAUGCCUUCCGUCUAUUAGGCAAUUUUACAAAGCUGGAGACAGGAAUGAGCAUUAUUCUCCAGAUACCUAAAGUGAGCUAUGGCCAUCUACUCACUAAGCAAACUGCUGAGUGCUGUAGCCACAGUGCAAAGCAGCUCAUGCACGCACUGGAAUUGAUCAACACCUGCUAAGUGUCAUAUAUAUGUUUUCAUCAAUUACUUUAGAAAUAUUUAUCAGUAUAGUUUAAUUUUUUUCCUUUUUUUUUUGAGACAGAGUCAUGCUCUGUCAUACCAGGCUGAUCGGUAUUGGUGCAAUCACAGCUCACUGUAGCCUCAGCCUCCUGGGCUCAAGUGAUCCUCCUACCUCAGCUACCCAAGCAGCUGGGACUACAGGCACGUGCCACCAAGCCCCACUAAUUUUUGUAUUUUCUGUAGAGACAGGGUUUCACCAUGUUGCCCAGGUUGGUCUUGAACUCCUGGACUCAAGUGAUCUGCCGGUCUUGGCCUCCCAAAGUGCUGAGAUUACAGGCAUGAAGCCAGUAUAGUUUAAUUUUUAAAGAUACACUAGAAGAUACAAGAUGGACCUAAUAUCUAAGGACAGCAUCUCCAUGCCAGGGACAGUGGCACUUCACAUUUCACAUGCAUUAUUUCAUUAAAACAGCACCAUCACCUCGGGAGGCAGGUUCAUUCUCUCUCUAGACAGGCUCGAGAAUGGAGACAGAAAAUGGAGGUAACUUGCCCAAGGCCACUCUGUAGGUAAGUGGUGGACUGGCUUUGAACUUUGCUGUCUCCAGCUCCUGCGAUGCCUCUGUGUUGCCUCAAAUGCAAACAUGUACUAUUUAUGCCCCACUUGGUUUCCAAAAGGACGUAAGAUGAUUAGAAAAGAAAUACAAGACAACAGAGUUUAAAAAUGUGUAUAAAGAAGAGUCAUAACAGGGAAACAAAUUUGGAAAAAAUAAACACAGUUGGCCCUCUGCAUCUGUGGGUCCCAUAUCUGUGGGUUCCACAUCCAUAGAUUCAAUCAAUGGCAGAUCAAAAAUAUUCAGAAAAAAAUAAUUGCUGUGUAUUGAACAUGUAUAGGUGUUUUCCUUGUCAUUAUCCCCUAACAAUAUAACAACUAUUUCCAUAGCAUUUACAUUGUAUUAGCUAUUAUAAGUAAUCUAGAGAUGACUUAAAGUAUACAGGAAUGAACGGGUACAAUGUACAUUAUUCCAACGAUAAAUACACUCACAGCCUCGACUUUGACCACUAUGCAAUACAUCCAUGUAACAAAAUUACACUUGUACCCCACGAAUGUAUACAAAUAAUAAAAAAAAUUAUAUGGUAAGAUGUGUGUAGAUUAUAUGCAAACACAAUGCUAUUUUAUAUCAGGGACUUGAGCAUCCCUGGACUUUGGUGUCCUUGCGGGUUCUGAAACAAAUCCCCCAUGGACACUAAGGAACAACUGUAACAUGAAGAUGGUAUGAGAUUUGCACACGAAACACCAGCAUAAAGCACAGUGCCCCAGCUAGAUGUAACCUCCUGCUUGACUCUGAUCUCUCUAGCAGUCAAUGCAGAGAGGGGAACAGAAACAAACAGAUAUAAGAUUUGGUGGCUGUAAGCUCAAAAGGAAACCAGUGGGUUAGAAAAGGCACUAUUCCUGGUAUUGCUAUCUGGAGGGAUUAUUUUCCAUGGGACAAAAGAAUAAGAAAGGCCUUAGCUGUUCAGAGCCUACAGUGUCCUUUAUGAGACAGAAUGGACACAGGUGAAACAGGAGGAAUAAUAACAGGCCGUGUGCGCAGGUUUGUGGUGUUGUCCAUGGGAAGAGGGGAUGGGACACUGAGGAACUGUCAAGGCAAUGCUGUGGGGAAAGGGUGAAAACAGCUAAGAUUAGGGGAGAGAGAGGUGGAAACGCAGGGAUGUCAUCCAGGGAGCGAGAUAGCAGGAAAGAGGCAGGAAGCUGCAAUUUGUACAUUGCCAGUGGGAGGGGAUGUGGAGUGGGGGAGGGCUGAGAAAGAAAGGGUUAAACGACAACAUAAAACAAGCCCUCACUAUAGGCACCGCAUGCCUCUAAGUGUUAUUGAUAUAACUCCUCUCAUUUAAUUCUCACACAAAACACCUGUGGCAUAGCUACCAUUCACUGCAUCCAUUUUACAGACCAGGCAAUUUGAAAGGAAGAGAGGAUUUAGGCGCCAUACUCAAGGUUACCUGGGUAAGAAAUGAUGGAGCAAGAAUGUCACCCAUGGGACCACACCCCUGGUGAGUACCAGACGCUGCCUCUAAUUCGAGUUCUUAUCAGAAACAAUAAAAGGAACCUGGGAAGUUGUGUGCUCAGGGCACCAGGGCCUUGGAAUCCAGGAAAGUGCUGAGAUGGGGUGUGAGAGUCACCAGACUUCUUAGCAAAGAAACAUAAUUCUACUAAAACAAGGUAUGGGUACAGUGGUAGGGUUUCCUUGCCUAGUUGCUGCAACAAAGUUUCCUGACAUAGGGUUUGCAGUGUAAUGUUCUAGCUUUUAAACUUUCCUAGGGCACAAAGCUUGUGCCAUCUCCCCACUGAUGUCAACAGCACUGUCUAUGAAUAGAAAUGUUCACUCUGCAAGCUCAGAGGCUCAACAUAUAACUUGAAAUACUACAUAGCAAGAUGGAUUAUCAUAAUAUUUUCCAGGAACUGAGUAUCUCAAAAAUGACAAGACAAAGAUAACAGACAGGUAUUCUGAAUUGCCUUCUAUUCCGAAUUUAAUGUUUUCCUAAACAAAAUUACCAGGUUAGUUACAGUAUUUGAAAUAGUUCUGAAUAAAUCAUGUUUCUCUAGCCUCAAGCAUGCAGGUGAAAUACGCAUAUCUCUCUGGUGUCUAUCUGUCCAUACAAAUUCCCGAAACAUGAAAUUGACACAGGAAACCAAUUAAAAAACAAAAUUUAAUGUUAUCUUUUCAGUUACUGAGCUUGCAUUUGUAGUCGCUACAACAGUGUGACAUUUAAUAGUGACUACUUGAGGGUGAAUAGUUCAAUAUGGUGAAUAUGAAGUACGAUGCAGGGCUUAUGGCAAGGAUUAGAUGCACAUGGAGCCAAGGACUUGGAUCUUAAAGAACAAGUGACAAAACAGGAAGCAGAAUGAAAUAUCUUAAUAUCAUAAUAUCUUGUAGGUAAAUUUAAAUUUACAUAAAGACACACAUAGAAAAGAAAAAUACUUGAAACAAAUGGAGGGGAAGGGGAAUGAAGGUGAGAAUGGAGAUGUGAGAACCAGGAAAGAAAGGAUUGCUUCUGUUUUACUCUAGCUAAGAAUUUUUCCAAAGUCUUUAAAAUGGCCUAUUAGAAUUUUUUUUUUUCUAUUUAGCUGGGCUUCAAUCAAUAUAGAAUUUUCUUGUCCAUUUUUCUUUUUUUUAGAUAUAGGGCCUCAUUCUGUUGCCCAGGCUGGAGUGCAGGGGCGUGAUCACAGCUCCCUCAAACUCCUGGCCUCAAGCAAGCCUCCCGCCUCAGCCUCCUGAGUAGCUGGGACUACAGGAGUGUGUCACCAUGCCCAGCUAUGUUUUUUAAAAAAAAUUUUUUGUAGAGAGCGGGGGUCUCGCUAUGUUGCCUAGGCUGGUCUCAAACUCCUGGCCUCAGGUGAUCUUCCUGCCUUGGCCUCUCAUAGGGUUAGGAUUAAGGAUAAGCUACUACAACCAGCCAGAAUUAAUUUUCUAAAUGCGUAAAUUAUCUUAAAUGCUAUGUUAAAACAAUCUUAUGCUUGCUAUUACUAUGCCUCCUGUUAAAAGUCAAGUUCUGUGUCUUUUUUGUUUUCGUUUUUGAGAGAGGGUCUUGCUCCUUGCCCAGGCUGGCAUGAUCACAGCUCACUGCAGCCUCCAUAUCCGGGGUUAAAGUUGAUUCUCCAACCUCAGCCUCCUCAGUAGCUCAGACUACAGGCAGGUGCUACACUACACCUGGCUAAUUUUUGUAUUUUUGGUAGAGACAGGGUCUCGCUGUGUUGCACAGGCUAGUCUCAACCUCCUGGACUGAAGUGAUCCACUUGCCUUGGCUUCCUAAAGUGCUGGGAUUACAGGCAUGAGCCACUACACCUGGCCUAAAAGUCAAGGUCUGAUCCUUUGUAAUAUAGUCCUUAGGUUGACUCAGAAUUCCCAAAGUCGAUUCAGGAGAAUCUAGUACUAAGUAUUAUCAACUGAAUCUAUUUUCAACUUGAAAUCUGACUGUGUUCCUGUGAGAUCCCCUACACAGCUCAUCACUGUAUUCAUAUUUAGCUCUUCCUCCAGGACUAGGUAUUUAAAAAUGAGAUCAAUAUAAAGAAGGUACCAUAUAUUUGUAAUUAGAGUUCUGAGAGACCUUUCCAAAUAGUUAGCUUCUCCUAAGUCAAAAGAGAAUUUACCAAGAAACAAAUAAAAAUGAAAUAUCCAAAUUCCAGAAAGCAUAGCAUUUCUGAGUCAUAUAUCCCCUGAAGCUCAGAGCUAGGGCAGCCAAGAUGACUUGGAACGCCUGAUUCUCCCAGUAUAGACAAACACCAGGAUGUGGUAGCCACCAUGUACGAGAACCACUGUGUGUAGGAACAAAAAGGCCACCAAGCAUGAGCGAGGCAGCUCCUUUUCUGCACCAGGAAAGCACAAGACAAGCACAUCUUACCACAAUAAAUGAAACAAACUGGUCAGAGUAGACAUAUGCCUAUGUCGUGAAAGUCAAGGAAGAUCAGAAGAUUGAGUACUUUGGUACAAAAAAAAAGAAACGCUCCCUUUCUCCCAUCUUACCUGAAGCCUGGGAGCCCCAUGCCAACUUUUCAUGCAGAAAGAAUUAUUUUGACAAAGGAAGAUUAAUGUCUUUGUGCUGGAAGAACAUUUUUAAAUACUGUCAUACAUAUCUUUGCAAAUUCUCCUUGUUCUCUCUCCCUAAACUUUAGUUUCAUUUACCCUAAAGAACUGCUGAGAAUUAUGGGUUUCUGCAUAUGAAUUCUUGUUAAGUUACUAACCCAUGGUGCUCUUGCAGACAUGUCACUCUAUCAUAAUUCAUUUCAACAUUAAUAAUCCUACCCACACAUCCUCCUCCUGUGGCCGGGGAGUCAUCUCGCUUAUCCUGUAAUGUGCCUUUAAUUGCCCCUGGGCAGAAGUGAACUAUAAACAGUCUGUCAAAGCUUUAACUGGGAUAUCCUGUUAAAGCACUUUAAAUAAAUAUUGCCAUCUUUUGUAGAAAACAGAAGAAAUAAAAAGAAACAAGACCAUGUCCACAGGUGGUUUUCUGUCAGAAUUAGAUGAUCUUCACAUUUUCAUUUAGAACAUGAAUAGUUUUUUCAUCAAGCUGAACAAAAACGGUUCUUAUUAUUAUAUUCAUACAGCAACUUCACCCAGUAUCUGCUGGCUUCAAAAGCCUUGGCAAAUUAUGUGUUUUACAAUUUGCUGACCUAAUAAGAAACUUGUAUAAACUAAAAAAAAAAAAAAAAAAAAAAAAAAAAAAAAAGUAAAACCAAAGCAACUCAUCAGAUGGUAUCAUGUUUUUAUUGUGUUUUGUUUUAAAAUAAGCAGGCAUCAAUGGUAUAUAAAACAGUAAAAAAUAAGAAUUUUCUGCUUAUUCUAUUUCACCUAUCUGAAAAAAAAAUACUUCCUCUGGACUAAAAUUCUAAAAAUGAGAAUUCCUUCCCAAAGGGACAUCUUUUGAAAAAAUGGAUCAGUUAUAAGAGAGACUGUAGAAAUCUUUAGUUGUCUUUGGAAAGUCAGAGAUAAGCUUAAACUGAAAUGUUGCUAAGGUAAGAUUAAUGGUUACCAAACUUUUCUCGAGAGUAAAUGCUUCCCUAGGUUGGCACAAAUCAAUUAAAUGACUCCAACUUCAGCACUACUGAUUUUCUAUAGAAAAUAAUCUUAAAAGUUAGGGAAAUAAAAAUCGAGAUGGUGAUUGGAAGUUGCCUCAUCCACCAAUGACUCCACUUCCCAAGCCUAACUAACAAUUGCAAAUGUGGAUGGACCUUUCCCAAAUUUGGAGUUUGUCCCCGAUGUCUCUAGAGGUCUCUUCACCUUUCACGUUGAUAGACUUUCUAAGUUUAUAUCAUAUAGCCUAGGGUGGCACAACUUUUUGCAAUAUCCUUUUCCUUAGUCACAUAUGAGUUCCAAACUAUUAAGAUUAAGACCAAGUGCCAAAUUGCUCUAAAGCAAUUCUAUCUUUGCUGGCCUGCCCAAGGAAGAUUUUUAUCUCAGAAUGUUUAUUCUCUCUAAGUGUCACCAAACAAAACAAAUGAAAAAUUCACAUCUCAAAAUGUCUGGGGCAGGGCAUUCUGACUCUGAGCUCAACAUAGCUUCUCCCUUCACUUAGCCCUUCUCAGUUCAACCCAAAAGCUAUACACAGAAAAGCUGCUUAAUUUAUAACAUUUUUUGAAAGCAGGUCACUGAAUUACUACUGACAGCCACGUGAAUUUCUGCCAGGGUAAGUGGAAAAAAGUGACCAAAAGGGAGAACCAAAUGAGUGUGCAGGCAUCCAGGGGAGCGGGUCAGCACAGCACACUAGAUGAAAAAGGCUCGGAAAGAUCUCUGUCGUGUGCAGACGGUUUCCAUGUCUGUUUAAAUGACAACACGAACAGCAGAAAAAUAGAGAAAACCAGUAAAUCAGUUGCUUCAUCUCCAUCAUACCGCGAGGUCUGACUACCUUUAUUUCAAGGAAUCAGUUGAAUCAGCUCUCUCUUUUGGUGACCCACUGACACAGUUCUGUAAGAGUGGGACAGGGAAUAGCAUGCCAGAGGAAAUAAUAUACCACAAUGAAAAAAACAAACAAAAACCCGAAAAACAAAAAACCACCCUGGCCUUUGGUGAGGGCUCCUUGCCUGCAUUUCAAGGACAGGGACUAUGUGGCGACUCUGCCUAAUAAUAUCACCUGUGUAUAGUGGCAAGUGUGCCGCCAUCUUGAAAGCAAUAUUAUAUCCAUUUGAUCUUCACAGUAACCUGUGUGAUGAGUGAAGGAUAUUCCAUGGUCCCAAACUUAUACUUUGCUUAAUUGUGUUCACUUGAUGAAUUAAAGUCAUGCCGUUUGAAAACAGUGGAGUCUAGCCUGGAACCCAGGUUCUGUUGCCCCCAUGCUUGUUUAUUAUACUGCUCAGCAGUGCCUAUCAGGCAAAAAGGGCUUGCCUUAUUUUUUUGAAAAAUAUAAAAGUUCAUAGACAAAUAACAAAAUAGGAGCAAUCUAAAACACGCUGAACCGAAAGCUGAGGGGAGUAUCAACUGCUAGCAACAUUUUUAAAUUCUUUGAUACUGUGUAAAUGUGUUUAAAUAAUAAUGGCUGGAGAAAUUUCUUUAACUUAAACUCCUUGUUUUAAAAAAGUCAGGCCAUGGGCAAGCCAAGUCAGGAAAUUAAAAUUUAAGGCUGUCAUUCUGUGGUUACGAAAAAGAGGCAAGUGAGUGAGUAGAAAGCCUAUGAACACAUCUUUUACACUUGGGUUUUAAAUAGGAAUAAAAGGAAAUUAUAAUUUAAGAGAAAAAUACAGAAGUUCAGAAGGCUUAUAACUUAAAGCACGGUUUUUGAUCUACCAAUAAAAAUGUCUACCUUAAGGAAAGUUGAUUAGCAUAAUGUGCUUUUUUCAAAACAAAGGAAAUGGAAAGCACGCUGAGGAAAGCAGGCAACUCUUUUCUCCUUGCUGAGGAGGGAGCUAUGCGUCUGCCUCGGUCUCUCUCGGGUAACUACUGAAGGGCAGAAUCCAGCAGCAUUCCACAGUGCCUUUCAUACCACAAAUGCACGCUUUCUAGGCUGAAUGUUUUCUCUACUUCCUCAUUUGUGACCAUUUUAUAAGCUUCUAGACUCUAUCCUCUACCCCACACAAUGUGGAGAAAAGGCUGAAUACUGACAAUGAUAUGACAUGAAAAUCUCAUAUAUUCUGAGCCACAUGAAAGACACAAAUAUGAAAAACAUCUCAGAACAUUUUUAUUAUAAGAAUAUCCUGUUUGCUUUUACAAUUUAAAAUUAAAACAACUGUGAAAAUAUAAAAGAAACAUAACAAUUAUAAGAUUAUGUAGCUGUUGCAAAUUCCUUUUGGAAAAAGACUAAGUAAUUAAAAAAACAAACAUAACAUGAGUGUACAUAAUGGCUUAUAAAAGCCUCUAUUUAAGCACUGUAGAUUAUAGAUUAGGGGAUACAUGGAGAGCUCUGGAUUAUUAAAAUUCACUGAGUCUUGGCUAGGUGUGGCAGCUCACGCCUGUAAUCCUAGCACUUUGGGAGGCUGAGACAGGCAGAUCACCUGAGGUUGGGAGUUUGAGCCUGGCCUGGCCAACAUGGUGAAACCAUGUCUCUACUAAAAAUACGAAAAUUAGCUGAGUGUGGUGGUGGGUGCCUGUAAUCCCAACUACUUGGGAAACUGAGGCAGGAGAAUAGCUUGGACCAAGGAGGUGGAGGUUGCAGUAAGCCAAGAUUGUACCACUGCACUGCAGCCUGGGUGACAGAGUGAGACUCUGUCUCAAAACAAAACAAAAAAAAUUAUUUGUAUCUCAAUGACAAACCACAUAACAAUGGACAGACUUAGCACCCUGAUUUUGGUGUCUAUGUACCAUUUCUCACUAAGAGGAUUCAGAGCACCAUGGGGAAAUGGCUGAUUCCAGUAAGAGAGUAAGGAAAUGUGGCUAUUAAAUUAAAGCAACUUAAAUUAAUUCAAAUUGAAAAUUCUGCUCCUCAGCAGCACUUGCCAUAUUUCAAGUGCUCAAAAGCCACUGGCUAUCAUAGUGGAUAGCAGCAUAUUAGAUAUUUCCUUCACAUCACUGUAGAAGUUCUAUUAGACAGCACUGGACUAGAGAGUAAAAGAGAUUUAAGAGGCUUAACCAAAUGCAAUGUGUGAAAUUGUUUCAAUUUUGAUUCUUUUUUGGAUUAAUGGGAAAAUUUAAAUAUACCUGAGAAUGAGAAGAUUAAAGAAUUAUUGUUAAAUAUGUAAUGAUGGUAUUAGGUUAUAUAUAAAAAUGUCUAUUUUUAGAGACACAUCUGGAAGUACAUGAGAAUAAAAUGUUAUAUUAGUUGGAAUUUACUUUAAAAUACUUCAGGCUGGGCAGGGUGGCUCCUGCCUGUAAUCCCAGCACUUUGGGAGGUCAAGGCAGAAGGAUUGCUUGAGCCCAGGAGUUUGAGGCCAGGCUGGGCAACACAGGGAGACCCCAUCUCUAAAAAAAAAAAAAAAAACUAGCUGGGCAUGGUGGCAUGUGCCUAUAGUCCCAGCUACUCAGGAGGCUGAGGGAGGAGGAUUGCUUGAGUCCAGGAGGUAGGCUGCAGUGAGCCAUGAUCUUGCCACUGCACUCCAGCCUGGGUGACAGAGCAAGGCCUUGUCUCAAAAAAAUAAAAAAUAAAAAACUGGCCGGGUGCAGUGGCUCAUGUCUGUAAUCCCAGCACUUUGGUAGGCCAAGGCGGGCCGAUCAUGAGGUCAGGAGAUUGAGACCAUCCUGGCUAACACGGUGAAACCCCGUCCCUACUAAAAAUACCAAAAAUUAGCUAGCAUGGUGACAAGCGCCUGUAGUCCCAGCUACUCGAGAGGCUAAGGCAGAAGAAUCACUUGAACCCAAGAGGUGGAGGUUGCAGUGAGCCGAGAUCAUGCCACUGCACUCCAGCCUGGGUGACAGAACAAGACGCUGUCUCAAAAAAAAAAAAAAAUUAAAAAAAAAAUUAAAAAAUAAAAAUAAAAACUUCAUAAAAAAGAGAUGAGGUAGCCCAGGCGUGGUGGCUCACAUCUAUAAUCCCAGCACUUUGGGAGGCCGAGGCAGGUGGAUCACUUGAGGUCAGCAGUUCGAGACCAGCCUAGCCAACAUGGAGAAACCCUAUCUCUACUAAAAAUACAAAAAUUAGCCAGGCAGAUAUCUGUAGUCCCAGCUACUCAGGGGACUGAGGCAGGAGAAUUGCUUGAACCUGGGAGGCAGAGGUUACAGUGAGCUGAGAUUGCGUCACUGCACCCCAGCCUGGGCAACAGAAUGAGAUUUCAUCUCAAAAAAAAAAAAAAAGAGAUGAGGUAAAUAUGGCAAAAUGAUAACAAUUGUUGACUCUAGAACAUAGUAUAUUUUCCAUACAUCUAUGUGUGUACAAAAUUUAUAAUAAAAUGUCAAACACAUAGCUUCUCGGCAUUUCUAAUUUUAAAACAGCAAACAUAAUUUAUAUAUAUUGCAUGUGCAUUUAUAUGUACGUUAGAAGCAAAACCAUAAUGGCCCAGUAUAUGGGCCUCAAAAAUAGUAAUAAUUGCUUGUCUAAAAUGUUGUUGCCAUAAUCAAGCCGGGGUGAUUAAAACUGAAAUGAUAAAACACAGAAUUGCGCAGUUCCUAUGUUCUUCAAUAAACUGUUCUUGAACCUAAGUUAUUUAGACAGUUUAGAGGGAUAGACAAUCAACUGCAUUACACCAGUUGCAAACAUUUUACAUUUUAGAAGUAUUCAAAUUUUAAAAUAUUUUGAAACUCCUAUUUUGCUGUUUUAAUAAAAACAUUAUGACAAAAAUGUCUAGAUGGUUUGGCUAAAAUCCCACUUAAUAUUUGAUUUAUUAUAAGUACAAAUUACAAAAAUUAUAGAUUAUAUAAAGUACUCUUAAGUAAAAUACAUAUCAUUUAAUAAAUGUGCAAUAUGUUCAAUAAUACCAUGUGUGAGAAAUAUGCCUAAUUAGGUCAAAUUGGAUUAUCAAUAGAAAUAUAUGAAAUAGCACUGUGUUUCAAACAAACAAAAUUACCAAAUUGCAUAAAAAAUCUAUAGAAAUAUUAUUGAAUCAGGAUUAUAUGAAAUAUAGGUGAUGUAUGUUUAAAUAUUUAGAGUCACUUGAUGCAUUUUCCAAUACUUAUCACAAUAGUCUGAAACAUUUUAGAAAUCACAUAUUUCUGUGAUAUCAGAAGCUAGAACUCCAUGACAUAAAAUGAAGGAGAUACUUGGUGUAUAACAUUCAUUCAUUUAGUGAAUAUUUCUUUUUUCCUCCCAAUUGGCAAGUAUGUAGAACAACAUUCACUAAGUAUUUCUUAAAAUAAAUUAGUAUCUAUUAUAGCAGAUUAAAUUUUUGUUUGUUUGUUUGAGAUAGAGUCUCACUCUAUUGCCUAGGCUGGAGUUCAAUGGCACGAUCUGGGCUCACUGCAACUUUCACCUCCUGGGUUCAAGCAAUUCUCCUGCCGCAGCCUCCCAAGUAGCUGGGAUUACAUGUGCGCACCACCACGCCUGGCUAUUUUUUGUAUUUUUAGUAAAGACAGAGUUUCACCAUGUUGGCCAGGUUGGUCUCAAACUCCUGACCUUGUGAUCCACCCGCCUCUGCCUCCCAAAGUGCUGGGAUUACAGGUGUGAGCCACCACGGCUGGCCUUAAAAAAUUUUUUUUAGAGACAAGGUCUUGGUCUUGUCUCCCAGGCUAGAGUGCAGGGGUAUAAUCAUAGCUCACUGUAACCUUGAACUCCUGGGCUUAAGGGAUCCUCCUGCCCUAGCCUCCCAAGUAGCUAGGAUUACAGGUAUGUACCACUACACCCAGCUAAUUAUUAUUAUUAUUAUUAUUAUUUUUUUUU
rnacentral:lncRNA from 1 species